rnacentral:lncRNA from 1 species
AAUUUUCAAUCAUUUGCAUUCAACCAUUGAUUCUAAUUCAUUUCUACAACCCAUUCCCAAAUACAUUCAUCAUCAUUCAAUUCCAUGUUUAUUAAAACCACAAACCAGCUUUCAAAUUUCAAACCAAUUCACAUAUUUCAAUCCAAAAAUUACAAAAAUCACAACCCAAGCCAUAUUGAACCAUCCAAUAUUCCAUGUACAAUUCAACCACUCAUUCAUUACAAUUUCAAACCAAUUUAUUCAUUACAAUUUCAAACCAAUUUAUACAUUCAAUUUCAAACUACAAUGCAUACAUAAGCCAUACAUGUGCAAUUCCAAUUACAACCACAAUGCAAACCCACACACUACCUCACCGCUCAACAAAAUCUGGAGAGAAGUAUGAAAAAGACUAUUACGACAAUGGCAACACGAGUGGCUCUGAACAUGUUGAAACAUCAACUGCUCCAAAAUCCUGUAAAUAUAAUCCAAAUGCACAUUCCAUAUGGCCUAUGAUAACCCUACCAAUUCAACCUGCAAACAAUUGUUAAUACAAUCAGGACGCAUAAAACAUUCAUCAACCAAUUUCAAUUCACAUCAAAACCCUACAAAUUCUGACUCAGCAACUAACCUCACCCUUCUGUUUUCUAAUAAAACCAACUAACGAUUUAACCUUAGCAUUAAUAGCUUCCUAACCACAUUAGCAGCAACAUAAUAGUUCACUGCAUCUUUGACAGAAAAUUGGGUUUCAAACCUAACAACACUUAACAAAAUUGCAACACCAACCAACCAAAUUCCAAUUAAAAUCAAAUUCAUUUCAAUUUGAAUUUCCAAAUAACAAUUGCAUUCCAAGUUAUAUUUCAUGUGAAUUUAGUGACAUUUUUGAAUCUUAUAAACACUGCAUACACACUUUAAUUCAGAAGGGGGUUUUAGAUAACGGGUUUUCAGGCUUCAAAGAAAAUCAGAGAGCAUAACAGAAAUUCAGAGCAGAGGGAGGAAGAAAAAUCACGAAAAUGCAGCAAAUACACGUAACAAUUCAACACAAACGCAGCAGAAAAAUCAUUCAAUAGCACGAUUCACUUAAAGCAUCAUGCAUCGCUCAUGCAAUUUUUCAACAACUUCUCACAACUUUUCCGCAAUUCGAGACUAAACAGAGGAACAAGAAGAAAGAGAAAUUCAAGGAGAAAUCGAUACCUGUUCCGUUUCAGUGAGUUCUCAUCAUUUCCUUUCUGUUUUCAUUUCAAUUUUGCACGCGCAGAGAUUGAAUCGCGAUUUGAGGUUGUGAUUGAUUUCACGAUUGGAGUUGAAUUCAGUUUGUUCGUUGUUGAAUUCUCCGUGUUCAUUGUUGCUUCGUCGUGUUCGUCGUUGUUCAUCUUCGAUUUAGCACAUGAAGAUGAAGAUUUGGCGUUUUGGUGUGCUGAAGUUGUGCAUCAUAUUUUGGAGUGUCCUGAGGCCAUUGCAUCGCAUCCUGGAACUUUGGCAAUGUGCGGAUUGUGUGAAGGAAUCAUUGGACUAGGGGUGCUGCAUUGAGAUGCCUAGGUUGUUUGGGCCU